rnacentral:rRNA from 1 species
AUUGAACGCUGGCGGCAGGCCUAACACAUGCAAGUCGAACGAGUGGCGGACGGGUGAGUAAUGUCUGGGAAACUUCCUGAUGGAGGGGGAUAACUACUGGAAACGGUAGCUAAUAACGCCUACCAUCGGAGUUGCCCAGAUGGGAUUAGCUAGUAGGUGGGGUAAAGGCUCACCUAGGCGCCGAUCCCUAGCUGGUCUGAGAGGAUGACCAGCAAAACGGGAACUGGGACACGGUCCAGACUCCUACGGGAGGCAGCAGUGGGGAAUAUUGCACAAUGGGCGCAAGCCGGAUGCAGCCAUGCCGCGUGUAUGAAGAAGGCCUUCGGGUUGUAAAGUACUUUCAGCGGGGAGGCGUUACCCGAAGAAAAAGCAACGGCUAACUCCGUGCCAGCAGCCGCGGUAAUUC